rnacentral:tRNA from 1 species
UCGGGCUCAUAACCCGAAGGUCGUCGGUUCAAAUCCGGCCCCCGCAACCA